CAGGCAUUCACACUUAUCUUACUCAGGUCCAGGGUCUAUGGCUCUGUCUUUUUCCUCUGGUUUUGCCUUUCGAAAACUUCUUUUCUUUGGUGCGGUUGGCUAUCUCUAUGGUAGCCUUAACCAGACCAUGAUCACCGUAAAAAACAUCAGUAAAGAGAGAGAAAAAAUGGCACAAUUUCAGCGCACGGAAACCGAAGUCAAUCAAUCUAGAAAUCAAAUUCAAGCUCUGAAUUUGCUGUUAGAUCAAUAUCGGGUUGCCUAUCCGGAUUUUGAAAAAAAACCCAGCUUGGAGGAGAAGAAACCAUCUGACAAGGUCAAAUUUGGCUACGAGCAGUUCGAAUCAGGUGAAUAUGUCGAAAAGUUUGCGGCAUCUUUUGAUCAAGAAUCGGGCAUUUUCGGCUCGAGUGAUCUCAGCGAGCUCAUAGAACAAGCAGAGGCCCAUUGAUGUGAAGUGGUGUGAGCGGAAAAGGGAACGGUUUUGGCGUUUGGUUUUUGCACGUUGAUGUAGAGUAUAGUAAAAAAAAUUGAAGAAGAGUCUUCUCUGACACACAUAAGAUCGAACAAACUUUAUAAUGCUGGUCUUUUUAGACGAGACAACAAAAGUCGAUUUCAUUUAUUCGAGGAAACAAAAGACGACAGGCCGUUGCUAUGGAAAAAGAGGGAGGCUGGUGUGGGGUAAAAUACCUUAGUGUUUUGAAUACCUUAGUUCGAUUGUUAGAGAUAUUUUGGCGAAUGUGUUUUUUUUGGAUUUUUUUAUGGUAAGGUGGCGAAUGGAUAGCACAUAUAUAUGAACAGAGUGA